CGAGCGCACGAGGCGCGCGUUACUUGGCAUUUGAAAAUGACGCCGGAGCGCAAGAAGGCGGCCCUCAGCGCCUCAGGAUUCCCUUCCGAAGUAAGUGCUGAAGCCAUAAGUAGUCUAGAAACUGGACUGUUACUUUCAACAAAGAUAUAAUUGGAAGGUUUCCCCACAAAAGUUCUACUCAGGAAAGCUUAUACGGCAAAGUCCCAGAUGUUUACAGCUGCUUCUCUAUGGAGACAAAUUUAUAUUUAGGAAGACCACUAGUUCUUUGUAGUACUGUGAAGUCCAGCCCCUGAAUGGCACCAAGACAAGACUCAGCAUUACGGAAGGAGGAAUCAUUUCGCUGCAGCACAGGAGAAGCCAUGGCAGGAAAAUUGGCCCUUCAUCAUCUCUUAACCAUUUUUAGCAGCCUCUAGUAAGGCCUGCCAAUUAACAGUAGCAAAGUUUCUCAAUUUUGUUUUCCCAUUGCACAUAACCCUCUGGGCAAGCUGGAUAAUCAUCUCCUUUUGACUUCUUGCUAGCAUGCCUGCUUUCGCACACUGCAAAAUCAAGAGUGGCAAAAGGUCUCCCUCCCCUUUGGAUCUGUGUUCAUUCCAAACCCUUGAAGUAGCAAACAUUUCACCCAGCUUUUAGUUUAUGAUGAAAACAUGGAGCAAAAAAGAAAAGAAAACGAAAACAAGUAUUCAGAUAUUACAUCUUAAAAUAGUUCAAUGUUUUUUUUGACAAUGUGCUAUUCUGCAACAGAACAUCCCAGUUGAACCCAACAGAUUAGAGGGCAGUGCCGACUGCAAUACACAGCCUCCAUUCAUCUGAAAAGGGCUUGUGGGCACAAGACCCAUUGAACCAGUUGAGAAUUGCAUACUGACACCGCUUUGUGGGUAACAUUGAAAUUACAAUAUCAUAGAAUGGAACCAUAUCAGCUAUUGUCCUUUUGUUGGUAUGGGUUUUACUUUCUAACACAGUACUCCAUUCCUACUUAGUACUGGGCCCGUUUCCAUUUAAGUUCAUACCCUUAUUUUGGUUGAAGCACUCACAAAACCUAUCAUCAAUGGGAGGAACCCAUUCACUGUGGUUUGAUCACACAACUACAACCUACCAGAGCUUUCUAAACUUUUCAUGUUGGUGACACACUUUUUAGACAUGCAUCAUUUCACAACACAGUA